AGUGGCGGACAGGUGAGUAACGCGUGAGCAAUCUGCCUUGGGGUCGGGGACAACCACUGGAAACGGUGGCUAAUACCGGAUAAGCCGAUUGGUGAAAGAUUUAUUGCCCGAAGAGGAGCUCGCGUCUGAUUAGCUAGUUGGUGAGGUAAGAGCUCACCAAGGCAGCGAUCAGUAGCUGGUCUGAGAGGACGAUCAGCCACACUGGGACUGAGACACGGCCCAGACUCCUACGGGAGGCAGCAGUGGGGAAUUUUCCGCAAUGGGCGAAAGCCUGACGGAGCAAGACCGCGUGAGGGAGGAAGGCUCUUGGGUUGUAAACCUCUUUUCUCAGGGAAGAAGCUCUGACGGUACCUGAGGAAUCAGCCUCGGCUAACUCCGUGCCAGCAGCCGCGGUAAUACGGAGGAGGCAAGCGUUAUCCGGAAUUAUUGGGCGUAAAGCGUCCGCAGGUGGCGAUUCAAGUCUGCUGUCAAAGCACGGGGCUUAACUCCGUAAAGGCAGUGGAAACUGAAUAGCUAGAGUGCCGUAGGGGUAGAGGGAAUUCCCGGUGUAGCGGUGAAAUGCGUAGAGAUCGGGAAGAACAUCGGUGGCGAAAGCGCUCUACUGGACGGCAACUGACACUCAGGGACGAAAGCUAGGGGAGCGAAUGGGAUUAGAUACCCC
rnacentral:rRNA from 1 species